UUGUGCUGCAGUUGACAGAAAGGCUGAUUAUCUUCCUGUAAAUGGAGAAAGUCGGCCUCAUAAUCAAUUUGUUGAAAACUCCUUAUUGUGAAGGGAUGUCACCCUGGUAGGCACCAGGGAUACCAAAAUAAGUAAGCCAUAGUCCUGGCCCACUCUCAUGAAUCUCCUAAUCUAGCAAAGAAACAGGCAGGCACGAAGGCUAAUUGUAUGCAGCUACAAAGGACGAAGCAGGCUGUUCCUCUAUAUUUCCCAGUGAGUCUCUAAUCAGCUGCCCAUCAGUAUCAGGGUGACCUUUCUUUCUCCCUCACUCUUCUUUCCUGUGGGAUCCUUGAUUUUGUUCAAUUUCUCCAAUUCCCCAACCCCAAGAUUCAGCUCCAUCUGGAGGAGCGGCAUCAAAUGGAAUCUAUCUUGGAAUUGCUGAAGAGGCUUUAGUUCUCUAUAUUCACAAAUUAAUAAACACUUUCCCUCCUGCUAAUAUUGAUUGCUUCUCAUGGAUUUACUUCAGUGAAUUAUUAUAUUAACCAAAUCCUUGUCUCUUUACUCUGUCUUACCAAAGAGUCCCCUCCCAAGAAAGUGUGAAGGAGAAAAAGAGGAGAGAAGAAAGCUCUAGCUUGCCCUGGAUAACAUGCACCAAAAUCGUGGUGUAAACAAAGUCAUGUGAAAUUACUGAGUACUUGGAGGGGGCAUCACAAAAGAUUCCAUGGAAGAAGAGAGGCUGAGUGAGUGGGAUGCUUCUGCACAACCCUGUGCUGUAUACUGCCAAAUUAAAACAUACAACCCUUAGGUAAGAAUGAGGGGUUGAAUGAGACCCUUCAUUCUUACCUAAGUUAAUGAGUCACAAUGGAGGCGUGGAGCCCCUGGGAGGAGGGGCACGCAAAACACCCAUUUAUAAAUGACAGAGCUGGGAUAAGAACCCAUUUCUCUCCCACAGUAAAGCCUAGACAUGCCCUUUCCAUGUUACCACACUUGGUCCCUAGAGCUGAAGAGGACACAAGUCAAGAGCAUUAAUUGGGUCCUCUUUCUGAAACUCCCUCCAUUUAUUGCAGUGGAACCUCCUGAGGAACAGAUUUGUGCUUGAGGUGCUUUUCUGUUAAGUCAACUUUUGCUGUCUCCUCAUCAGGAUGUUCUGUCACUGAGCAGUGCAAAUUAUGAAAUCUUCCUUAACAGCUCCGGCAACAUGAGGCAGCUGAGGGACCAAAGGAGGCUGGACCCCUGGAUGCAGUAAAACAGAAGCACGUUCUCAUCUGAGCGUUCUGCUAUUGCUAUGCUCUCCAAAAAGAGGUAUACACAACUUUAUCUUUGAUUUAUGCUCCGGCCACCAACUCACAUGCUUAGACAAAACAAGACACAGUCUCCGAGCGCUUUAGACCAGUUUUGAAAACAGAAAUCUUUUCCUUUUCCCUCAACUUCCUAUUUGACACACUUAUGUCAGCUUCUGAUCUUUCUUUAAAUUCUCUCCACUGCCGAGGGCCUUGAUUCUCUUAAAGAUCAGUCUCUCCUCCCAGCUUACGAAGACUUGAUCUUUCUUUGAGAUAAGUGUCAUUUACUUCUUUAGAGGGGAAAGGAAGAUCUAAAAACUUGUUUCUAACUUAUACCUUCCCUUUGUUCUAUGUCAAGACUGAAAUAUCUUUACCAAAAGACCACACUAAUUACACAGGCUGCUGCUUGCACUGUAGGCAGAUGUCUUGAAGGAGUUUUUCUGCAGAGGUAGAACUUGAAAUGAGCUCUUGAAACGAGCAGGCAGACCUGGAUCUGGAGCUGAGCUUGGCUACUCACUAGCUGUGACAAUAUGGGUUAGUAACUUAGUGACUCAGUUUCCUGCUCUGAAAAAUGGAGAUAAAGACCCCUUUCUCACAGGCUUCUUGUAAUAAUUAAAGUAUAUCAUACAUGUUAAAUACCUGGAGCUCCAUAACUAGUUUCCCUCAUUUUCCAACAUCCUGUAGAUAAAGAAUUUGGGGUUGGGUGUGGUGGCUCA
rnacentral:lncRNA from 10 species